CACAAUUUAUCUGCAAAUAACAGUAUUUCCAUUACUUGAAGUAAUGGAAAUACUGUUAUUUGCAGAUAAAUUGUG
rnacentral:miRNA from 1 species